UCAAGCUACUAAGGGCAUACGGUGGAUGCCUUGGCGCCAUACGCCGAUGAAGGACGCGAUAAGCUGCGAAAAGCCACGGGGAACUGCAAAUAAGUAUCGAUCCGUGGAUGUCCGAAUGGGGAAACCCGGCAGCCGUAAUGGGCUGUCACCCUCGGAAGAGGGAGGGAACCCGGUGAACUGAAACAUCUAAGUAGCCGGAGGAAGAGAAAUCAAACGAGAUGCCCCCAGUAGCGGCGAGCGAAGCGGGCAGAGCCCAAACCGAAGGUCUUCGGGCCUUCGGGGUUGUGGACCGGCAGAAUCGAGCAAGUUGUUAGCCGAAUCCUCUGGAAAGAGGAGCGAGAGAGGGUAAUAGCCCCGUAGGCGAAAACGACGCGCGAGAGGCCGAGAUCCGGAGUACCACGGAGCACGAGGAAUUCUGUGGGAAGCAGGGGGGACCACCCUCCAAGGCUAAAGACGAAAUGGCGACCGAUAGCGCAUAGUACCAUGAGGGAAAGGUGAAAAGAACCCCGGGAGGGGAGUGAAAGAGAACCUGAAACCGUAUGUCUACAAGCAGUCGGAGCGAAAGCGACGGCGUGCCUAUUGAAGAAUGAGCCAACGAGUUACGUGUGCCGGCAAGGUUAAGCAGAAGAUGCGGAGCCGUAGGGAAACCGAGUCUGAAGAGGGCGAGGAGUCGGUAUAGGUAGACCCGAAACUGUAGUGAUCUACGCAUGGCCAGAUUGAAACGCAGGUAAAAAUGCGCGGAGGAUCGAACCGGGACAUGUUGAAAAAUGUUCGGAUGAGCUGUGCGUAGGGGUGAAAUUCCAAUCGAACGCAGAGAUAGCUGGUUCUCCUCGAAAUAGCUUUAGGGCUAGCCUCAGGCAGUAAGCAUAGGCGGUAGAGCACUGAUCGGGUACGGGGCCGUAAAGGUUACCAACCCCUGUCAAACUCCGAAUGGUUAUGCUGCAAAGCCUGGGAGUCAGACUACGAGUGAUAAGAUCCGUGGUCAAAAGGGAAACAGCCCAGACCACCAGCUAAGGUCCCCAAUGUCGUACUAAGUGGAAAAGGAUGUGGGGUUUCAUAAACAACCAGGAUGUUGGCUCAGAAGCAGCCACCAUUUAAAGAGUGCGUAAUAGCUCACUGGUCGAGAGACCCUGCGCCGAAGAUUCCCGGGGCUAAAGUACGAAACCGAAGCUGUGGCUGUAUACGUAAAGUAUACGGGGUAGGGGAGCGUUCCCAUAGGGUAGAAGUCGAACUGGAAGGUUCGGUGGACUUGUGGGAAGUGAGAAUGUUGGUAUGAGUAGCGAAAAGAAAGGUGAGAAUCCUUUCCACCGAAAGCAUAAGGAUUCCUGAGCAACGAUCGUCGUCUCAGGGUAAGUCGGGACCUAAUCCGAGGCAGAGAGCGUAGGAGAUGGACAACUGGUUGAUAUUCCAGUACCGGUAGUAAUUGUUUGAGCAAUGGAGUGACACAGAAGGGCAGGCAAGCAUGCGAAUGGAAGAGCAUGUGUAAGCGUGUAGGGUGGUGCAUAGGCAAAUCCGUGCACUGAAAGCCUGAGGCGUGAUGCGGAGUGAGCAGAGAUGCGAGCGAAGUUGUUGACCCCACACUGUCGAGAAAAGCUUCUAGUGAGAGAGCUACCGCCCGUACCGUAAACCGACACAGGUAUGCGGGGAGAGAAUCCUAAGGUGCGCGGGAGAACCCUCGUUAAGGAACUCGGCAAAAUGUACCCGUAACUUCGGGAUAAGGGUAGCCACUGUUGUGAAGUCCCACGCGGAUGGAGCAUAGAGUGGUCGCAGAGAAGAGGCCCAAGCGACUGUUUACCAUAAACACAGGUGCCUGCUAAAGCGAAAGCUGACGUAUAGGUGCUGACACCUGCCCAGUGCCGGAAGGUUAAGGAAGGAUGUUCGGAUUAGUCCAAAGCAUUCGACUGAAGCCCCGGUGAACGGCGGCCGUAACUAUAACGGUCCUAAGGUAGCGAAAUUCCUUGUCGGGUAAG
rnacentral:rRNA from 1 species